rnacentral:lncRNA from 1 species
GGCCGCCCUCUCUAUUAUUAAUAAAUAUAAACAUUUGGCUACAGAAGGAUUCGUGUGUUCCCGCGUAUUCUUGCUGGCAAGAGGUCGCGCGGGACAUCUGGUGCCGAAACCCGGGAGAAACGCCACACCAUCGCCAGGCGCCAAGAGGGGGUCUUCCGUCUGCGGAAGGAAUCCAGAACUGUAGUGUUUAAAAGGAUGCUACAAGAGUGUGCCAGCUGCCUGAGUGGUUGCUGAGACUUGCUGAUCCUGGGAGCAUAAAGAUUCAGCUCUCCUGGUUCGGGUCCCUGAGUCAUUCCUCUGCCCCAAGAGGAAGAUGGAAGAUUCCCCCCUCAUCUUUUGUCAUCACAGAGAUUUUGCCGUUGCUACAGUCAGUGUUACCGCUGUGUGUGUCCCGUCCCACUGUGGCCUGCUCUCUGACCCUCUGUGCACUGCUGCUUGCUGGAGAAGACUGGACUCCAGCCGUUGCUGCCCCCCUCAUUUCCCUGGUGACUCUUGCUGCCUUAACUGGUGUUGUCAUCUUGCAGUCUGUAGCUUCACAAGAAUGCCAUCUGUGUGAAGCUGCUGUGGACUGGGGAACUCUGUCCUGGUUGUACAGAUCUCAGACAUGGUUCCAUUGGCUGCUGGUUGUUCCAGAGAUCCUGAACUGUCCUGGAAAAGACCUUGACACUUUCGCUACUAUUGUAGCAGCCAUUACUGCUGCAGAAAUUGUGUCUGCAGUGUCUGGAGUUAUCCUCCCC